rnacentral:RNase_P_RNA from 1 species
UGGGUCGGCUGGAUGGUCACGUCGUGUCGGUUCGCCGUCGCGCCGAGGAACGUCCGGGCUCCACAGGGCAGGACGGUGGGUAACGCCCACCCGGAGAAAUCCGCGAGACAGUGCCACAGAGAGUAGACCGCCGGGGCUUGCCCCGGUAAGGGUGAAAGGGUGGUGUAAGAGACCACCGGGGUCGUGGUGACACGGCCUGCAAGGUAAACCUCGUCCGGAGCAAGGUCAGACAGGGGAUGUUGACGCGGCUCGCCGAGUCCCCGGGUAGGCCGCUAGAGCGGCACGGCAACGUGUCGCCGAGAGAGAUGACCGUCGAAGGAGUUCACACUCCGGAACAGAACCCGGCGUACAGGCCGGCCCAUUCG